UGGUUAUAAGAAAAGUAAAUUGUGAUUCUUAGUAAAAGAUAAACUACUCUAAUCAUGAUGUACUUAGUGGUGGAUAUUCUGUGGCUUGUGGCAUUUUAUGAUUUAAUAUGGUAUAAAUAAGAAUUAAAGCUAAUGGUAUUUAGUCUUUUGAUGUUUAACAUAGUUGUUGCUCACUCGAUGAUAUAUAAAUUACAAACAAUGAUUUUUGUUUAACGGGAGAUUCUAUGAUCCGAGGAACGACUCUAUAAGAGAAUUAUGUAAAUAGUGGACUAUGAUGAUUAAAUGUAUUGAUGAAUGACAUCGGACAUGGAGAGUAAUUGUCCAAUUAUUGAAUUGAUGUUAUACUAAAUUAGAUAAGUAAGGUUGGAUCUAGUCCUGUUAUUGUAUAGAUAUUAAGAGAAGAAUCAAUUACAGAAACGUGAAGAGUAUAAAUUAAUAUGAUUUAAAUGAGGAUAGUCAGUAUUUAGAGGUUUAAUAAAUUAGGGAUUAUGGGUAAUAAGAUUUGAUAA